CCUGCCCCGCAGUAUUUCUAGGACCUGGUGUUUUUCAUAUGAUGGACCAUAAAGAAAUUGCCUUGUAGAAGGAAUGGGGCAGAUAUUUCAGGAAUUCAGUGCUGGUUAUUAGUAGCAAUCAUCUGGAAGUGUCCAAAACAAACACAAACAGCAAUCAGUCAGAGGCUGUGGCGUAUCAGUGAGUGUAAGCAGUGGCGGGGGAGCGACUAGGAGAGCUUAGAGUCUUGCUGAGAAAGCAAACAAAAUACAAAGGGAGAGAACAGCUUAAAGAAUAUCCAAAACUAAAUAUACUUCCUAUUGUUAGCACGAUGCUGGUAUGAUAUAUAACGGGACUUCUUUCAGUGAUAAACGCUAUCAACAGCUGCAGUGAAGGCGUGGGGCUGAAUGCUUCUGUGAACAAUCCUAACAAAUCCAACAACUCAGUGUGCCUACACUGUAGCUGUUUCAGAGUGGGCACAAGUUUAAAAGGGCCUCGACAUGGGGACAGGCUGCAUACCCUGUGCUGAGCACAAGCAAAUCCACAGCCAGGGAUUUGUCAAUACCACUGGCCCCAAGUAGCCUACUGGCAUCCCCAUGUGUUUGCUCAAAGACAGGUGAAAGGAAACUAAACAAGAAACAGUGAGUGGUUGUUAUCCUGCAAACACCCCGAUGGAUUCAGAUCAGCGGAAGUGUAAGACCUGUAACUGCUUUCACCUUCACCUAUGCAGAGGUGUGGAGGAAAAACGCACCUAUGAAAAAUAGUGCUGAUUCCCGAGGAGAGGAAUAGCUGCAUGGAAAGGGAACAGCCACCUUCUGACCGGGCUGUUGGGUAAAUCCUUGCUGUGACUGUAGCAAACCCCAGCUGCUGCUCUUGCACCCAGGACAAAGGUAAAGCACGUACCUCUGUCACCACCAUUUCUGCCCCUUGCUACUUGUGGCUUUGACCUAAGAACCUAAGGAAGCUAAAUCACCACAAUUAAACGUUAACAGUGUGCCCAUAAACUGUGAGGACACAACCAUCUACAUCGUCUACAGUCCUUCCUCCAUUCCCUUUUUUUAAAAAAGAUUCCAUAAUGAAUUAUGUAAAGCUUUUAUAGCUGCGCAGUUUUUCUUUUAUGAACUGUUGGUUAUGCAGUGAAUUUCUCUCUUGUUUUGCUGCGAAGCCUUCGGGAUUGUAGCUGCAAGUUAAAUUUCACCUAUAAAACACGUUAUCAGCUGCAUAACGAAAGCACCAGAACUUGAAGACAGGAUACCUUCAGAAGAUCACCCCAUGAACAGUGGCUGGGAGUGCUGCACAGAUAAACAGCCAGUGUUCGUGCUCACCUGAGCAUUAACAAACCAAAGGUUAGCAUGGAGAGUAACACCGGGGCGUUCGUGUUUUGUAUUUGGCACUUAACAAAACAUGCACCAAUCUACAGGGAAAGGUCCUUCCUUCCUCAUUCAAACUUGGCAGAAGUCUGAGCGCAGUGCACAACUAGGAACAGGGAACGUGCAGAGGAAAUAGAUCACGAGGGAGCUGGGGUGGGAAAAAACAGUGGCUUAAUCUGCAGAGCCCCUUAUUUUGGGAAAUUAUUUUUAGCAUUUGGAACCAUUAAGUGCCAUGGUCCAUACAGACCCAGUCCCUCCAUCCUCCCUGCACCUGGUGCUGCUUUCCCACACAUGCUCACUCCUCCUCUGGGGGCUACAGCUUCACUAAUGGGUGGUUCUAUGCAUUCCCAUUGCCUCUUCCUUCAGCUCUGUCCAUGCUUCCAUCUGUAUUUGGUGUUAACCUAUGGCAUGCAAAUAUCCCCCCCUUUCCACACUGGGAGAGGUCCUCCGAGGAUCUAAGCUGCUGUUUUGAAUGACCAUUUCAGCUAUUGGUCACUUCAGUAGGCUUGUUGGAGUCAACAGCUGGCAAUAAUGUAUUUCUCACAUACCAACUGUCCCUCAAUCACAGAGCAGGCUCCUGUCACUACGCUCUCUGUGCACCAGUGUGAUUUUCCUGCGCUGCAUUUGGUCUGCAACGCAAUGGGUACAGUGCAGUCGUGACACGUGGUUAGCAAUCGCUCCGUGAGCUUGUGAUAACAUCACAUAAAAAAUGGUUCUCAGAUUCUGCACACAGACAGGUUUAUGUAAAAUAUAUAAACAUUUGUCCAAGUUGUUACAGAUUGCAUAAAUAUGGCAUUUUUACUGUAGCAUUUACAGAUGUGCAUGUACAACGAUGUGCAAAUAAUCACCAUUUGAUUACAAUCUUUGAAAGGUACUCGAAUUUGGCAUCCCAAUGACGCAAUGAAUGAAAAAUGCCCACCGAAGAAUUUCAACAGCAAACUUACAACAUCGCUUAAGUUCGUAACAAAUCUCAGUGUCUUCUCAGUAAAACUUUCACACAUUUAAAAUAGUUUGUAUUCAUUUUAUUUGUAUAUGUCAAAAUACUUCUUCUUUUUUUUUUUUUUUUUUUUCCAAAAUAGUGGGUUUUGCAACUAGUUUCAUGCAGAUACAAGGUCUGCUCAGUACUACCAAUAAAAUCAAUAUAGCACAGUAGCCAUUCAUCUUUUUUAAGAUAUAAAGAAUAAAUAACCUAAAUAUAAAACACUAAAAUAUUAGAAACACGUAUUUAAUCAUUCACAGGCACCCAAACUUUACCAAAUAUAAUCGAGAAUAUGCCUAACUGUCUUGUAACAGAACUCAGUACGCUGCAGCCAUUCAAACCGUUCAGUUCUCCGCUUAUUUUAUGUUAGCAUAUGACAGUGGAAGUUCCCUACGGUUCAGCCCCACCUCUCACACAGAUCGAUUACUAUCAGGUAUCUCAGACCAUCCGUGUACCUUUAAAAUCAAGAAUCCUGAGCUUGGUAGUGAGAGCAUAACCUUACAUCUUCAAAAAACCAGCGGAGAGAGGACAUCGCGUCUUCCUUCCCCAACAUAUCCCACCCCCCUAAAGCUAAGCCCACCCCCCAGGAGGCAGUAGAACACAAUGACCUUUUUAAAUGAAGGGGUACAAAUUCACAUUUAAUGUAGUAUACAAUAUAAUCAAUAAUACAAUAGCUACUACAAGCUUUACAAUGUACAAUCGGUUGUAAUGGCUGAUCUGGUCAGUGGUUUUAGGCAAUGAAGUUAUGUGCCCAUAGGAUGUCGUAUUCCGAAUGGUUUAAUGAAAUAUAAAAGCUGUUUCUAACAAAAGCAAUCUUCACUUAAGUACUUUUUUUUGUUUUUAAAGGCCACUGAAAUGUAUAAAAUGGUCUGACACGAUGGUGUUAUCAAAUUAGAUGCCUUCUCACAUGGCAACAGUGCAUAUAAACAUUAAUGUGAGUGUAACGGGUUAUGUUUUUCAAAUGAUUUAGUAAGAUUACUUUGGCUAGCACAACAGUUUUGGACAGCACUCAGAUAAAUACAGGUAUGUGAAAUGUAGUGAAGCAGUUAUAUUUAUGCAUUUUUUAUUAUGGUGAACACUAUCAAAUAAAAAAAAAAAAAAACAAAUGGGAAGAAAAGAUAAUAAAGUAUUUUAUAUAGUUUAGACCUUUUGUAAA